UACAGAGGUCUCAACCGUUGUUCGGAUUCAUUGGGCGUAAAGGGUGCGUAGGCGGUCGUGCAAGUCGGAUGUGAAAUCUCAGGGCUCAACCCUGAAACUGCAUUCGAUACUGCGUGGCUAGAGUGCUGGAGAGGAGACUGGAAUUUACGGUGUAGCAGUGAAAUGCGUAGAUAUCGAGAGGAACACCUGCGGCGAAGGCGGGUUGCUGGGCUGACACUGACGCUGAUGCGCGAAAGCCAGGGGAGCGAACGGG
rnacentral:rRNA from 1 species